CAGGUUAGUCUCGGGUCAUAGGUGACUCCAAGAUAAGUAGGGCUGUCAUUUUUUUCUAAAGCUUCAAAAUCUAAUGUUAAUUUUAUUGUUUGUUGUUUUGUUGACAGUGAGAAUAUGGUAUAUGUGGUCUUUUUUGUGUUGAUGGACAUGCCCCAGUCUUUGGACCAAUUAUUGAGUUUAUCAAGAGCAUCUUGUAAUCGAAAUUUCAAUGUUCCUACAUAUUCUUCUGUGCUAAUUAUGGCAAGGUCAUCUGCAUACAUGCUGCUUUUAACUUUUCUAGCCUCCAAGAAUGAAAUCAGCUCAGCCUUGAGUUGGACGACACCCUUUAACACUUUUCCCCUGGAGAGCCAACGAACGUUGGUGUGAUACAGGAGACAUUAGUAGUCUGAAUCCAUUGCUUCACAAAGCUCUGAGGAAAGUCAGAAUGCAAGCGGUCUAGAUUUGAGGAAGUUUACGACUUCAAUCACUUGAUCCAGAACAGACAUCAAAUAUUUGAAGGCAAGAGCUUCUCUGUGGAUCAUGCAGUGAACAACUAAUACAUUUGGAUUUUCUUGUCGCACAAGAGUGAAGAAUCCCUUUCUAUUUCCCUGCAUGGAAGGACAGCCAUCGGUGCAAACGCUGACACAGUUUGUCUCCACUGUACUUUGAAUAGCAAAAUGUUUUCGUUCACCACUUAAAAAUAUCUUCGCCUUUGGUCGUAGUUGGUGGCGAUUUUAUUGUUUACCAUGGAGUUGUCUACUUUUCAAAUUUUACUGACCAAGUUUUUUACAGUGACUGAUCCAUCAGCAGUUUCCGAAGCAGUAACUGAUAUCUCAAAAAAAUAUCGCUUUUCUGAUGGUGUCUGGUCACCUCAGAGGAUCAACAGGAUUUGUUCAUUGAAAGACACUUGAAGGUGUAGGCAGUUAAAGCAAAAGGACUUCUUGCAAUGUUUGUUUCAAGGACCAGACACAACAGAAUUCCACAACAUAUGUAUCGGAAGCUCAAAAUCAGAAACUGAAAUCUGCCCAUGUGGAGUGUCACCAGAGAAUGUUGACCAUCUCCUCCAAAAUUGCUCUCUUUACCAAGAGGCUGUACAUGACACUGGCCCCAAAACACCCCAAUAGAAAGAAAACUAUAUGGAGAGUUCCCUGAUUUGGAAAUCACUGCAAAAAUAAUCUCAUAUACUGGUCCAGUCAUCUGAAUGCUCCAAUAAAAAAAAUGAGAAGGAAGAACAAAGAAGAUUCUCUAUUUUGACAAUAUAUAAAGAGUGACUUUAGCUCAACUCCUCACCAAGCUUUACAGUCUGUGACAUUUUUUUGGUGGCGAUUUUAUUGUUUACCAUGGAGUUGUCUACUUUUCAAAUUUUACUGACCAAGUUUUGUACAGUGACUGAUCCAUCUGCAGUUUCCAAACCAGUAACUGAUAUCUCAAAAAAAUAUUGCUUUAUUGAUGGUGUCUGGUCACCUCAGAGGAUCAACAUGAUUUGUUCAUUGAAAGACACUUGAAGGUGUAAGUUGUAAAAGGUUUUGAAAGACUUGCCAAAGCAAGGCAUUCUUGACAGGGAUAAACAUUGGGAGCAGCUCUAGCUGACUCAGCUCAGAGGAUGACAUCACAGUUAAUUGACAUCUUUCUGUUAACAAUGCAUGGAUUAUCUUAUCUUCUUCAUUCUAGGGGAAUUAUGCAUUGAGUGAAGACAUCUUGCUGUAGAAGAGAAGAACAAUUCAGAUAGUUCACAUGAUUUACAAUAUGGCUUUGAUUGUCUUAUGUUAAUGGCUGGUAAAGAACUGAAACAUGUAGGCUGGAGAUCACUUGAUAGAAAUCAAGAAAUCUCUGAUCUACAUUGUAUGAGAAAAUCAUGAAGUGGUUGUUGUCAUUGAUCCAGAAACUAAGUUGCAAUCUGUCUUGAUAAAUAUAUCAUACAGAUUUAAUGGUGGCCUACUCAACCCGAGGCGGCUUAAAGCAAAAACAAAAACAAACGCAGCAGUAAUCAGAGACUUGCUAUUUGCUGACGACUGUGCCCUAAAUGCCUGCUCUGAAAACGAUCUGCAGAGCAUCGUCAGUGACUUCUCAAGAGCAUGCUCAGACUUUGGCCUUACCAUCAAUACGAACAAGACUGAAGUCUUAUAUCUACCUGCUCCUGGGAAAGCCUACAUGGAUCCAAGCAUUACUAUAAAUGGACAGGGUAUAAACGCAGUGGACAAAUUCACAUAUCUUGGCAGCACACUUUCCAGAAAUGGAAAAAUCGAUAGUGAAAUCGACCUGCGUAUCGCCAAGGCCAGUGCAUCCUACGGCAGAUUGUCUACAAAUGUCUGGAACAGACGUGGUAUCUCCACAAACACCAAGCUAGGGGUCUAUAGAGCCGUCAUCCUCCCUACAUUGCUAUAUGCCUCAGAAACAUGGACAGUGUACAGUAAACAUGCAAAGAAACUAAACCACUUCCACAUGACAUGUCUGAGAAAAAUACUAAAUGUCAAAUGGCAAGACAAAAUACCAGAGUGUGUCUGCAAAGAAUCCACACAAUCCUGAUGCAGUCCCAGCUGCGAUGGGCAGGUCACGUCUACAGAAUGGAAGACCACCGCAUCCCUAAACGACUCCUGUAUGGCCAACUAAGCGAAGGAAAGCGCUCGCAAGGUGGUCAAAGAAAGCGCUUCAGGGACACCCUCAAUGCUUCUCUGAAGGCGUUCAGCAUAGACCCAGGCACCUGGGAGACAGAGGCACAUGACAGAGCAUCAUGGCGUCGCGCUGUGAAAACUGGCGCACAGGUUGCUGGGGAAAAAAGAACAAUGCUGGCAGAAGAAAAACACCAGAAAAGAAAAGCAAGGCCCACGACACUAGCUCCAGCUGGAAUAACCUGCCCAGUGUGCGGCCGAACAUUCCGGGCUCACAUAGGUCUCACCAGCCACAUGAGGAGGCAUAAAACCCCAGUGCAAAGCCCUCAGCCCCCUGGAUGACAAAGUGGUCAUCAUCGAACCACGAUGGACGAACUAUAAGUUGCAAUCUGUCUUGGUAAGCAGUAUUGAAGUUAGGGUGAUAGCUUUUUUGGUCACAAUAAUUUAAUUUGAAAAUUAAAGAAAUUUUUUUUGCUUUAGUAGACAGAUUUAUAAAAAUUAAACAUUGUUUUAAAUGUCUAAAAGAUUAAUUAAAACUUGUAAAACUGUUGUGAAAUUAUUUUCACUGUUAUCAGUAUUUUUUAUUCCUAGAUUUAUCACUGCUUUUAGUUUCCUAUAUAAUCGUUGUGUUACUAUUCAAAUGUUGUGUAAACAUGGGGGUAGUGUUGUAACCCUGCCUUGCACCAGUGCUUGAGGUGCGCACUAGUGAACGUAAACAGGAAGAGACUUGAAUGGAGAGAAGAACAGUGCAUCAGGGAUUGUGAAGAGUCUGAAUGUUUGGAAACUAAGAAGCAAGCUUUUGGUGCUGCCUGAAGGUUGUAGAAGGGACCUGGAACGAAGCGGGGAAGUCUGUCGUUGGUCCACAUUCGGGUUGCUGUCUAAAGGACUGGUAAAUUAGUAGAAAGACUCUGAGGAAGCUGAAGGAUGCUAUGUGUUUGUCCUAGUGAAUAAACACCUGUCUUUAUUUCCUGUUACACUGUGUUGAGUUGCAUGCCUAUUCAUUGAGUGCCUAGCAGAGAGUUGCAACAAUUGGUGUUAUGACUCUACAAUGCACGCUGUCAUUAGGUGUGAGACUGCGCACCAUGAGACACAGGACAGAGACAUGAAAUAAGAGAGGAAGUCAAGAUGGCCGAUGAUUAGAGAUGAAAACGACGCUUGUGAUGUGAUUAGUGUAAUUCUAGAUCUAGUUUCCUAUUUGGUUAUUAAACAUUCUAUUUUGUUAUUUUUAUACUCCUUUCGUUGAGAUUUGGCUAAGUUAUAGCAAUUGUUCUGGGUGGAAAGACAUGCUCCAAUUUGAUUCCCUUUUCUGUAAUUCAUCUAAUUCUCUUUGUAAAAUAUGUGUGUCUUGUGUUGUUUUUAUUGUUCUAUAUAUUAUGCAAUCGUCUGCAAAUAAUCUGACUUUUGUUCCUGAACUAAUGCAAUUUGGUAAAUCAUUUAUGUAAAUUAAAAAUAGUGGUGGACCCAAGACUGUUCCUUGAGGUACACCUGAGUUUACUGUUAUCGGUGUUGAUUUAGAGCCAUUUAUUAUUACAGUUUGUUCUCUCCCUAUCAGAAAAUCUUUAAUCCACUGAUGCAGUGGACCAUUAAUGCCGAAAUAUUUUAAUUGUUUAAGCAAACUAUAGUGGUGAACUUUGUCAAAAGCCUUGGAAAAAUCUAGUAAGAUAGCAUCUAUUUGUUCACUAUUAUCUAAACCUUUUGAAAAAUCAUCAAUUAGUCCUAUUAGUUGUGUUUCACAUGAUCUAUAUUUCCUAAAGCCAUGUUGGUAUGGGGUGAGGACAUUAUGUUUGUCUAAGUGGUUUAUGAUGUUGCUACAUAUUAUGUGUUCUAGGAUUUUACAUGUGAUGCUGGUAAGUGAUACUGGUCUGUAGUUUCCUGGGUCAGAUUUUUCUCCUUUUUUAAAUAGGGGGGUGACAUUAGCUUCUUUCUAGUCCUUUGGUACUCUGCCCUGGUUAAGCGAUGCCUGAAAGAGUAUUUUGAACACUGGGGCUAGUUCAUUGCUUAGUUCUUGGAGUAAUCUAGCUGGAAUACCAUCAGGUCCAGACGCUUUAUUUGGUUUGGUGUUGGCUAAUAGUUUUUUAAUUCCAUUUUCUUGUACUACUAAAUCUUCUAUGUUGUCUACUUGGUUCAAAUUAAGUAAUAUGUCUUUGUCUCCUGGGGCUGAGAAUGCUGAUGCAAAGUAUUUGUUUAGGAUGUUUGCUUUAGUUCAUUAUCAUUAUGUUAUGUUCAUCUUUUAAUGGCACUAUGCCUGUUGUUUCCAUUUUCUUAGACUUAAUGUAUGACCAUAGGUUUUUGUUGUUAUCUUUAGAUAUUACAUUGUUUAUGUAUUCACUCUGCAGCUGUCUGCUUACUUUUUGGGUUAAGUGUUUAAUUUUUAUAUACUUUUUGUAAACUCUUUCUGCCUUAGUUUCUUUAAAUUUUCUAUAUAGGUUUUCCUUCUGUUUACAAAGCUUCUUUAGUCUAUUAUUAAACCAGCAUUAAUUUAUUUUGUUUGAUGUGUAUUUAGUUGGUAUAUGAUUUUCUAUAAUGCUUUUAAGAUGGUUUUUAAUGAUAUUCCAGAGGUCAUCGACUGGUUGGUUAAUGUCUUUAUCUAAUAAGAAUGUUUGUUGAAAGUUUAAUGCAGCUUGGUGUAGUUGUGUUAGGUUACAUUUAUUCCAGAGUAAAAUUUUUCUUUUGGGUUUUGUAUUGGCUACUGCUUUUAUCUGACUGUGUAUUUUUAUGAUCUCAUGGUCUGAUAGACCAGGGAUAAUAUCAUAAUCAACUACUAAUCCAGGUCUGUGGUUAAGAAGAUAUCUAAUGUGUUGUUUAAUCUAGUUGGCUUUUUAAUGAUUUGAUCUAAACUUAGGUUGUGUAAAGUUUCUAUGAAAAGCUCAUUUAUGUCCUUAGGGUUUUGGUGUUUAUCUAUGGUUAGUGUUUUCCAAUUUAUAUCAGGUAGGUUGAAAUCACCCAUAAUCCAAAAAACUGCAUUUUUAUCUGUCUCUUUAAGUGUAGUAAUCUGAUUACAUAGUUCCUGCAUGUAUUCUAAACUAGAAUUUGGUGGUCUGUAAAUGCUGCCUAUUAUUAGGGAUGUUGAGGUGGUAUUAAUUUUACAAAAUGUAGAUUCUAUAUUUUUGAGUUAGGUAAGGUAAUUUCUUCUGCUAUAAGAGUGUUUUUUAUUGCUAAAAGAACUCCUCCAUGAUUAUCAGCCCUAUCUUUUCUAAAAAUUUCAUAAUUACCAUUGAAAAUUUCUGCAUUAUAAAUUUCAGUGAACGAAUUGUGUGUCCCCUUACCUGUCAAUUCUGUUUAGUGAUGGUCAAGCUCAACUGAUAUUAUUCUAAGCAGCUUUUAUUCUGAGAAUCAUUCAACCACAGAAGCUGUGAGGGAUAUCUGAAAUCCAUUGCUUACUUGUCUAGCAGAAAGAUUUCUAUCCGUUUAGUGAUAAAAGAUUGAGAUUAAUUGUAUACAACUUUUUGUAGUCACUAAAUAACACACUUUUAUGCUCAAGACAAUACUGUUCAUGAAUGGUUUAGUUUUCUUAAUGCUGAGAGUGUUCAUGAAAGAAGGAUCAAAGGUCAAUUUGGGUGUUUGUUUUUUAAGACAACUUGCAAUGUUUAUUAAUUUAAAUUUACCAGGUACCUAUUAUUCAUUUACUUUGGAUUUUAAGAUAUUUGUCAUUGAAAUUUAAAUAGGUAUAAGUACAGUUAAUUAACCACAGGAUUCCAUUAAAAAAUUUAAAUGCUAAAGAAAUUUAAAAAGAAAACAUUUCAUUUUUGAGAUUACAUCAUCUUUAUGUGGAAUGUUUUUUGAAUAAAUGGUACCUGUACAGGUGAUUAGACCUAUUAAUAAAUGAUAACUGGAUAUAUUUGUAUUUGAAACCACUGGCAUGUAUUUUACUUGUUACUAAUAACUUAAUUUACUUUUUAAUAUAUGCGUUAUCUUCUAUUUUGAAGAAACAUCUGUAUUAUAUAAGAUAAGAUUAUCAACUGUAGUUUUCUUUUAAGAGUUCUUUAUGAAAAUGUUACCACUGAACACUGCUAUAUUACUAGACUUUUUUCAACUAUGUUUUGUAAAUGAAAUAUUGUACAAUGGCAUAUUUAUUGUAUUACAUAAUUAAGGUUUUUAUAGCUAUAUAUUAAAAACAUCUCAUAUUUAAUGUACUCUCUGCACUGAACAAUUUUUUUUAAAGUGAUAAAAAUUUUGGUUUAUUCAUAUCAAGUUUGUUUUGUUUGUAUAUAUGUAGAAUAUGUAUUAUCAUAGUGAAAGCAUUUAUUUACUUGCAUUUUAGUUUUUAUAAUCAUUUAUAGAAUUCAGUGUAAAUUCAUUGUACAUUGAACCUCGUUGGUAGUGUCAAUGUAAUUAAGUUGACAUGAAGUAUUUAUGUAUAGUCCUGGGUGUUAACUACAUUGUUCAUUAGAUGACUUCCUGACAGUGUUUUAUCCCAUGGGAGCCAAUAGAUCAGCAUGUCAAUAUAUCUGUUGUAAGAUGUUUAGAGUAUACAACUCUAGCAAUAAAUAUGCUGAUCAAGUUUAUAUUUUUGGAACAGAAUAUGCUAAUGUGUUAAAUACAUUUUUUUUUAUUUUAAGAAUAACAACUGGUACUUUAUUUUAUCCCUUUGUAUCUUUCUUUUUUUAAUGUCUAAGUAGUAUAACUUCUAAUUUAAUUGUCUCCCUUUUAAAAUCAACCAUCUAAAUUAGGGAUGGGCAACCUUUUUCUGUUGAGGGCCGCAUUAAAUUUUUUUUUUAGGAAUAGGGGGCCACAUAUAUAUAAUUUGUAUUUACAACUUAGAAAAAUAUGCUAGCUGUCUAUUAAUUUACUUGUAUACUGUAUUAGACAUUCAAAUUGAGGAAUUAUAACAAGAUUUAGCAAUUUUUGAAACUAAUUUAACUGAUAUUUAAAAAAAUUUUGUUACUGUCUUUUUACAUCACAUUCAUUCUUCACAACAAUCCAGUUAUACUUAAUGUGAAGUAUUUAAUUGUGCAUAAUGUUCCGGAACUCUGGAACUAGCUUUACUAGUUCUUAUCUUUGUGACUGCUGUUAAAUUACAGCCAGUCAGCAUCCACUUGUUCUUCUGGUUGCAUAUGUUCAAACAAAAGAAAAUAUUCUUGUGCAUCCAAAAAUGUCAAAGUUUAGCAUCAAGUCUUUUUAAGUGUGGAAAUACAGCUUAUGCACCCUUCAAACUGCUUCUCUUUUGGGUCAUAAUUUGCUAGGAAGUAUUUCCUCAGGAGCUGAAUCAGCUUCUGUACUAAAUGGUGAAGUGAGGAUAUUCAAAAAUGGUUUAAGUUCUUGACGUCUUAACAUUUGUUUUCAAAUUCCAUAAGUCUUGUUCUUUUCUUUUUACUAGAAAUAGUUUCACCUUUCAGCAAACGAAAAUGAAAAAACCUGUUUUCACUUGCUUGACUGGAGAAAUGGAAAAGCUUGAAAAGAUGCUCAUAAAUUUCAUGAUGUGCAAGUAGCCCAUUGCAACUCUUCAUUAGAAACAUUAGUAAGAAAGCCACUGUCAGUGUCAUUAAGGAAAAAAAAAAUUUUUCCUUGAGACCCCAUAUUCUUUUCAAUACCUUGCCCAUGUGGUACUUCUUGAAACUGUCUGUGGCUCUGAUAAGUUUGAUCACUGAGAUGAUUAGGUCAAUAAUAUGUCUGAUAUUCACUGCAACCUCUCGGUGUAGAAUUUAAGGUUGUGAUAUUGUUCUUUAUUUUAAAAAAAAAAUGGUUUUCUCAGUCAAAGCAUGGGCUCCAUCAGUUGUUACACUUGACAUCUUGUUCCAAGCCAACCCAACACUUUCAACACAGUUCUUCAUAGAAUUUAUUAAAUACUGGUCUGAGUGUGUGUCUUGUUUCGAAAUAUUACCAAUAAGCAUAAUCUUCAUUUGCUUAAAACUUUAGAAUAACAUGAAGAGACAAUGUUUAUUGAGCUUCUUCAUCAUAAUUGAUUGAUUUGAUUUUAGGCACAUCUGCACAAUUUAGGCCAUUUAAAUAUCAUAAUUGAUAAGAAGAUUUUUAAAAUUAUUUAUUUUUAAUAUAUUUGCAUUUUUAUAUGUUUAAUCUGUGGGCUCACCUGAAUUCUGUAGGUUUCUGCGGGCCGCAAAAACACUUUGGCAGGCCGCAUGUGGCCCGUGGUCUGUAAUUUGCCCACCCCUGAUCUAAAUGAAUUAAGUUAUUUUGAUUCUACACAAUCUUCUACUACUAAAAGUAAUAUCAGGACUACCAAUGUACCUUAGUUUUUAACUAAAUAUUUAUUUGUGCAGCACUUUCAGUUUUAUUGUGAUAUCGUAUACAUUGAUUUGAUUGACUCAUUUUGAUGUAUAUGUAUACCUUGCAAUCAAAGUGGCAUUCAUUUUUUUUUUAAAUUGUAACUGGUCUGUGCUAAAUUACUGAAUUCAUAUUAAGAGAUAACUAUUAAUGUAUUUGAAAGUUAAUGGUAAAGGGAAAAUAGGUCAUUGUGCUGGUCUCAAUACACCUUGAAAUGUACAGUAAUUACUUCAAUGAACAAGAAGAAAUUAAUCAGCAAUGAAAUUACCAAAAAAGAUAUGACAGGAAAUGCUAUUAACAUCUAGUCAGUGAUUACCCUCUACAAAGUCAUAGUCAACUAAUCUAAUUGACUUCAAUAUUCAAUCAUUAUCAAAAAUAAACCAUUCCAAAGACAAAGUGAAUGAUAGACAAAAAAUGGGAGAAGCUUUUUGAUGUAGGGCAAAAUGUGAAAAUAUUCAAGUUCAAAUAAAUUUCCCUUUUCAGACUUUGCGAUCUGUAAGACAGAUGAUACAAAAAAUCAUCUGUUUCUGUGUCUUAUGGUCAAUGAUGGUAUCAGGUGGCCACCACAAUGACCAACCGCCUUUACUUUUCUCCAUUAAAUGUCAGGAACCCAUUUGAGCUGGGUGGACCGAAAGGUGCCUAAUUGUUUUUCUUUAUAUUAGGACCAUUAUAAAAAAAAUGGUCUUCAAACCCUAGACCUAUGUUUGGCAGCCAAGCACUUUACCGCUUAGCCACCACACCUCCAAGUGAAUUCUAUAGAAACUUUUAACUGUUUGCUCAUCUUUCAUUCUACAACUAAAGCAAGGUAAUUAUUUAUUGUUAGGGACAAUGCUGUCUGGAAUGAGAGAAUAUGUUAGCCUGUCAGGGCCUAAGGUCAUGUCUAGCCUGGGAUAACAAGAAGUUACAGUUGCCAGAUUGUAACACUACUGGGUGGGUUGUAUCUGUGCACCUCUGUGACCAAGGGGUUUGAGUCAUCUAAGCAACCAGACAACUAAACUAAACUAGCGAACUAAAAGAAAUCUAGAAACAUAAAGAAGAAAUUCAAAUGAGACUUUAAUUUCAAUGACUAAGGCAGCAGUUACAAUCUAGUACAUAAACAUUAGAAGUGGCCAUCAUGACAGCACUGGGCAGGGCUUGGCCAUAUUUUUAAAACAAACUUUAGAAAAAAAAAACUGCUAGUUAUUUUGACAGUUGUUCAAAUAUAAAACAGAUUUACACAUAGUAAAAUUUUAAAAAAUAAAAGAAAAAUUCUGAAACUUACAGGCAGUCCCAGGUACAGAAUAAUUAAAACUGACACAGAGACCACUGGUCAACAGUACAGGAAACAGCAUAGGCUCUAUUUUAAGUACUCCACCCUAACCCAUAUAAUAGGCAGAAAUACAAGUAUACAGCUUAGCACUAGCCUACAGAAGUAAAAUUUAAAAUACAUAAAAGUAGCUUUGGGAGCGCCAGUUCACAAUUAUAAAAAUUUACCUGUUAAUAAAGUCUAGGUCUAAUGUUUGUUUUGUUGGUUUUACAUGUGUUCCAUCAGAAAGAGAGAUAACAUCUUAGCCGUAACCUCCAACAGGACACUGAGUGUUAACACCAGAGACUAUGGAGAUGACAAAGUGGAUACCCCAUGAUCACCAAUAGAUAAUACAAAGUGAAUUAGUAUUUGAAAAUUUUAAACACACUAAGGGGAUAAACUCAUUGCUUUAGUGAAGACUGACAAUACCAAGUAGUAAAUAUUAUUAUACUCUUUAUUUAUAGCAAAAUAUGUAGGUCCUAGCUGGGGAAUACUGCAAACUUCUCACUAAUCUUCGGACUUGAAGAUAAGCCUUAUUAUUAUUAUUUAUGGAAAAUUUCUCCUCUAAGAAAUCAGACAAAAACUAAAAACUGUAUUCAUGGUAACAGCAAAACAUUUAUAUUAUAACAGCAUAGAAUAUGUUAACAGUUGUAUUUUAAAUAUAAUAAUAUAACAAUAUUAUAAUAGAGCUAAAUAAUGUCAAGUCGCUAUUUAUACUGUAAAAAAGCAUAGAACAAAUUGUGCAGGGAUGUGACACAAAAAAUUAUAUGAUAGCACACUAAAGCAGGGGAGAUAACAAAUUGAAUUAAAAGCAUAAUCUAGCAAGGCUUUGGCGUUGUGACUGUACAGAGUAUUGAAUGUUAACUGAAGACACGUAUAGUUGUUACAACAUUUUCCGGUGGAAGUGACGCUCUGCUUUAGAAUUCAUGAAUAAUUAAAGAUAUACAAGUUUGCUUAAUACUGGUACAAUAAUAAUAACGAUAAUAUACCAAAGCACCUUCCUCCUUCAAAAUACAAAAACAUGUAACUGAAACAACAAGAA